rnacentral:rRNA from 1 species
CAGCACCUCAAGCGGUCAGGAUGAUUAUUGGGCCUAAAGCAUCCGUAGCCGGCUCUGUAAGUUUUCGGUUAAAUCUGUACGCUCAACGUACAGGCUGCCGGGAAUACUGCAGAGCUAGGGAGUGGGAGAGGUAGACGGUACUCGGUAGGAAGGGGUAAAAUCCUUUGAUCUAUUGAUGACCACCUGUGGCGAAGGCGGUCUACCAGAACACGUCCGACGGUGAGGGAUGAAAGCUGGGGGAGCAAACCGGAUUAGAGACCCGAGUAGUCC